AAUACCUCAGUCUUAUCAGGU
rnacentral:miRNA from 1 species